UACGUAGGGUGCGAGCGUUGUCCGGAAUUAUUGGGCGUAAAGGGCUCGUAGGCGGUUUGUCACGUCGGGAGUGAAAACUCGGGGCUUAACCCCGAGCCUGCUUCCGAUACGGGCAGGCUCGAGUUCGGUAGGGGAGACUGGAAUUCCUGGUGUAGCGGUGAAAUGCGCAGAUAUCAGGAGGAACACCGGUGGCGAAGGCGGGUCUCUGGGCCGAUACUGACGCUGAGGAGCGAAAGCGUGGGGAGCGAACAGG
rnacentral:rRNA from 1 species